GCUGACGAGUCCCAAAUAGGAUGAAACGCGCGUUC
rfam:Schistosoma haematobium scaffold733_28, whole genome shotgun sequence.